rnacentral:rRNA from 1 species
GAUGAACGCUGGCGGCGUGCCUAAUACAUGCAAGUCGAGCGAACGGACGAGAAGCUUGCUUCUCUGAUGUUAGCGGCGGACGGGUGAGUAACACGUGGAUAACCUACCUAUAAGACUGGGAUAACUUCGGGAAACCGUAGCUAAUACCGGAUAAUAUUUUGAACCGCAUGGUUCAAAAGUGAAAGACGGUCUUGCUGUCACUUAUAGAUGGAUCCGCGCUGCAUUAACUAGUUGGUAAGGUAACGGCUUACCAAGGCAACGAUGCAUAGCCGACCUGAGAGGGUGAUCGGCCACACUGGAACUGAGACACGGUCCAGACUCCUACGGGAGGCAGCAGUAGGGAAUCUUCCGCAAAGGGCGAAAGCCUGACGGAGCAACGCCGCGUGAGUGAUGAAGGUCUUCGGAUCGUAAAACUCUGUUAUUAGGGAAGAACAUAUGUGUAAGUAACUGUGCACAUCUUGACGGUACCUAAUCAGAAAGCCACGGCUAACUACGUG